GAGUUUGAUCAUGGCUCAGAUUGAACGCUGGCGGCAGGCUUAACACAUGCAAGUCGAGCGGGGAGAUGUAGCUUGCUACAUUUCCUAGCGGCGGACGGGUGAGUAAUGCUUAGGAAUCUGCCUAUUAGUGGGGGACAACAUUCCGAAAGGAAUGCUAAUACCGCAUACGCCCUACGGGGGAAAGCAGGGGAUCUUCGGACCUUGCGCUAAUAGAUGAGCCUAAGUCAGAUUAGCUAGUUGGUGGGGUAAAGGCCUACCAAGGCGACGAUCUGUAGCGGGUCUGAGAGGAUGAUCCGCCACACUGGGACUGAGACACGGCCCAGACUCCUACGGGAGGCAGCAGUGGGGAAUAUUGGACAAUGGGCGCAAGCCUGAUCCAGCCAUGCCGCGUGUGUGAAGAAGGCCUUUUGGUUGUAAAGCACUUUAAGCGAGGAGGAGGCUACUUGGAUUAAUACUCUAGGAUAGUGGACGUUACUCGCAGAAUAAGCACCGGCUAACUCUGUGCCAGCAGCCGCGGUAAUACAGAGG
rnacentral:rRNA from 1 species